GACGAACGCUGGCGGCGUGCUUAACACAUGCAAGUCGAACGGGCCCGCUCUCUUUUUUGGGGGUGGGUUGAGUGGCGAACGGGUGAGUAUCCCGUGAGUAACCUGCCCCCUGCUCCUGGAUAACUGCUUGAAAGGGCGGCUAAUACGGGGUGUGCCGGCUGGUCCGCAUGGGCCUGGUCGGGAUAGUUUCAUCUUCGGGUGUUUCGGUGGGGGAUGGGCUCGCGGCCGAUCAGCUUGUUGGUGGGGUGAUGGCCCACCAGGGCGGUGACGGGGAGCCGGCCUGAGAGGGUGGGCGGCCACACGGGGACUGAGACACGGCCCAGACUGCUGCGGGAGGCAGCAGUGGGGGGUAGUGCACAAUGGGCGGAAGCCUGAUGCAGCGACGGCGCGUGAGGGAUGGAGGCCUUCGGGUUGUGAACCUCUUUCUCCGGUGGUGAAGGCCCUGUCCGGUGCGGCGGGGUUGACGGUAGCCGGGUAUGAAGCGCCGGCUAACUACGUG
rnacentral:rRNA from 1 species